GAACUUUAAAAUUUAUAUGUAUAUUUUUUUUAAAGUAUUAUUAUUUUUAUUAAUUUUAUAGGAAAAAUUUUUUUUAUUAUAGUUUACUUGUACGGUUACGGAGUAUUCUUAAGUUAUUAAAAGAAAUUUUUUUUUAAUGUACCUUUUGUAUCAGGGUUUAUUAAUAUAAGUAUUUUUAUAUGGUUUUUCCCGAAUUUGUAGGAGUUAUUUAUUUAUUUAUUUCAAUGUUUAAUGAUUGUUUAUAAUAAGUUUUUGGAAAUUAUAUGUUAUUCGGUUACAAUUAUAUCUGGUUCUUAAAGAGUUGGUUUCAAUCCAGAGGUGUGAGGGGUUAAUGAGAGUUUUUCUUUUCUUUUUAUAUCAUUUAUUUUCAGGGGGAUUAGCUUUUGAAAUGUUUAUAAGCUUAUAUUUUUUACUGGGAAGUGGGAUUAGAAUUUUUCAUCUUCAAGUAUGUUAUAGUUUGCUGGUUUGAGUAUAUAUUUUUUUGUGUUUAGGUUUUUUAUUUAAGAUUAUAAUUUAAUUUUUUUAUUUUAUUUAUUAUGAUUUUAUUAGUAAAAGUUUAUGUUUUAAUUAGUUGGUUUGUCAGGUUUAUAAAAGGAAUUCGGCAAAUAUUAUUAUCCGCCUGUUUAAUAAAAACAUGUCUUUUUGUUUAUUAUAUAAAGUUUGACCUGCCCACUGAUUUUGUUAAAAGGCCGCAGUAUGUUGACUGUGCGAAGGUAGCAUAAUAAUUAGUUUCUUGAUUGGGAGCUGGAAUGAAGGGUUGGACGAGAUAAUUACUGUCUCUUGUAAAGUUAUUUUGAAUUUUACUUUUAAGUCAAAAGGCUUAAAUUUUUUUAAGGGACGAGAAGACCCUAUAGAGUUUUAUAUUUAAUAAGUUUUUAAAUUUUGGUAUCUUAUUUUUUUCUUAUAUAGUAUUUGGUUGGGGUGACUUAAAAAUUUGAUUAACUUUUUAUAUUUUUUACAUUUAUUUAUGAUAAUUUGAUCUUACUUGAUUGAUUUAAAGAUUAAAUUACCUUAGGGAUAACAGCGUAAUUCCUUUUAGAGUUCUUAUCGAAUAAGGAGAUUGCGACCUCGAUGUUGGAUUAAAGUUUAUUUUAGGUGUAGCAGCUUAUUUUUUGAGUCUGUUCGACUUUUGAAACUUUACAUGAUCUGAGUUUAGACCGGCGUGAGCCAGGUUAGCUUCUAUCUUUAAAUUAAUUAAUGUUUUAGUACGAGAGGACCAGGCAUUUGUUUUGAAGACUUUUUUUGAAUU
rnacentral:rRNA from 1 species